GGGCGGUUAGCUCAGCGGCCAGAGCGCCUGCUUCACACGCAGGAGGUCGAAGGUUCAAGUCCUUCACCGCCCACCA
rnacentral:tRNA from 1 species